rnacentral:rRNA from 1 species
AUUGAACGCUGGCGGCAUGCCUUACACAUGCAAGUCGAACGCGAAAGUGGGGGCAACCCUGCGAGUAGAGUGGCGAACGGGUGAGUAAUACAUCGGAACGUACCCAGGAGGGGGGGACAACCUCGAGAAAUCGAGGCUAAUACCGCAUACGUCCUGAGGGAGAAAGCGGGGGAACUGCAAGGACCUCGCGCUCAUGGAGCUGCCGAUGUCGGAUUAGCUAGUUGGCGGGGUAAAGGCCAACCAAGGCGACGGGCCGUAGCUGGUUUGAGACAACGACCAGCCACAAUGGGACUGAGACACGGCCCAGACUCCUACGGGAGGCAGCAGUGGGGAAUUUUGGACAAUGGGCGUAAGCCUGAUCCAGCCAUGCCGCGUGAGUGAAGAAGGCCUUCGGGUUGUAAAGCUCUUUCGGCCGGAACGAAAUCGGGUGCGUGAAUAACGUAUCUGGAUGACGGUACUGGAAGAAGAAGCACCGGCUAACUACGUGCCAGCCGCCGCCGUAA